UGACUAAGCCAUGCGAGUCGAGAGGGUUCGGCCCUCGGCGUACUGCUCAGUAACACGUGGAUAACCUGCCCUAGGGAAGGGGAUAAUCCCGGGAAACUGGGGAUAAUACCCUAUAGGUUACAGAUGCUGGAAUGCUCUGUAAUCAAAAGUUCCGGCGCCCUAGGAUGGAUCUGCGGCCGAUUAGGUUGUUGUUGGGGUAAUGGCCCAACAAGCCAGUAAUCGGUACGGGUUGUGGGAGCAAGAGCCCGGAGUUGGAUUCUGAGACACGAAUCCAGGCCCUACGGGGCGCAGCAGGCGCGAAAACUUUACAAUGCGGGCAACCGUGAUAAGGGAACCUCGAGUGCCUGUAAAUGCAGGCUGUUCAGAUGCCUAAAACACAUCUGGAGAAAGGGCCGGGCAAGACCGGUGCCAGCCGCCGCGGUAAUACCGGCGGCUCGAGUGGUGGCCACUUUUAUUGGGCUUAAAGCGUUCGUAGCUGGGUUGUUAAGUCUCUUGGGAAAUCUGGCGGCUUAACCGUCAGGCGUCUAAGGGAUACUGGCAAUCUUGGAACCGGGAGAGGUGAGGGGUACUUCGGGGGUAGGAGUGAAAUCCUGUAAUCCUCGAGGGACCACCUGUGGCGAAGGCGCCUCACCAGAACGGCUUCGACAGUGAGGGACGAAAGCUGGGGGAGCAAACCGGAUUAGAUACCCGGGUAGUCCCAGCCGUAAACUAUGCGCGUUAGGUGUAUCGGUGACCACGAGUUACCGAGGUGCCGAAGGGAAACCGUGAAACGUGCCGCCUGGGAAGUACGGUCGCAAGGCUGAAACUUAAAGGAAUUGGCGGGGGAGCA
rnacentral:rRNA from 1 species